AUUGAACGCUGGCGGCAGGCCUAACACAUGCAAGUCGAGCGGAGCGGCGGAUGGGUGAGUAAUGCUUAGGAAUCUGCCUGGUACUGGGGGAUAACGUUCGCAAACGGGCGCUAAUACUGCACACUAUCAGAUGAGCCUAGCUCGGAUUAGCGAGUUGGUGGGGUAAAGGCCUACCAAGGCGACGAUCCGUAACUGGUCUGAGAGGAUGAUCAGUCACACUGGAACUGAGACACGGUCCAGACUCCUACGGGAGGCAGCAGUGGGGAAUAGUGGACAAUGGGCGAAAGCCUGAUCCAGCCAUGCCGCGUGUGUGAAGAAGGUCUUCGGAUUGUAAAGCACUUUAAGUUGGGAGGCGUUACCAACAGAAUAAGCACCGGCUAACUUCGUGCCAGCCGCCGCGGUAAUUC
rnacentral:rRNA from 1 species